rnacentral:rRNA from 1 species
CCUGACGACCAUAGCGUGCGUGAACCACCUGAACCCAUCCCGAACUCAGAAGUGAAACCGCACAGCGCCGAUGGUAGUGUGGGGUCUCCCCAUGUGAGAGUAGGACAUUGUCAGGC